UUGCCAUCUGCGAUAUGGAAGAUUCGAACCUGCCGCAGAUUCGGGACUCACGCAGUGAGACAACGGAGCCGCUUGCGGCGACGGCCCGAAGGGCGAGCAAAGCGAGUCAUCCUGCACGACCCACCA
rnacentral:sRNA from 1 species